rnacentral:rRNA from 1 species
GACGAACGCUGGCGGCGUGCUUAACACAUGCAAGUCGAACGGAAAGGCCCUGCUUUUGUGGGGUGCUCGAGUGGCGAACGGGUGAGUAACACGUGAGUAACCUGCCCUUGACUUUGGGAUAACUUCAGGAAACUGGGGCUAAUACCGGAUAGGAGCUCCUGCUGCAUGGUGGGGGUUGGAAAGUUUCGGCGGUUGGGGAUGGACUCGCGGCUUAUCAGCUUGUUGGUGGGGUAGUGGCUUACCAAGGCUUUGACGGGUAGCCGGCCUGAGAGGGUGACCGGCCACAUUGGGACUGAGGUACGGCCCAGACUCCUACGGGAGGCAGCAGUGGGGAAUAUUGCACAAUGGGCGGAAGCCUGAUGCAGCAACGCCGCGUGCGGGAUGACGGCCUUCGGGUUGUAAACCGCUUUCGCCUGUGACGAAGCGUGAGUGACGGUAAUGGGUAAAGAAGCACCGGCUAACUACGUGCCAGCAGCCGCGGUGAUACGUAGGGUGCGAGCGUUGUCCGGAUUUAUUGGGCGUAAAGGGCUCGUAGGUGGUUGAUCGCGUCGGAAGUGUAAUCUUGGGGCUUAACCCUGAGCGUGCUUUCGAUACGGGUUGACUUGAGGAAGGUAGGGGAGAAUGGAAUUCCUGGUGGAGCGGUGGAAUGCGCAGAUAUCAGGAGGAACACCAGUGGCGAAGGCGGUUCUCUGGGCCUUUCCUGACGCUGAGGAGCGAAAGCGUGGGGAGCGAACAGGCUUAGAUACCCUGGUAGUCCACGCUGUAAACGGUGGGUACUAGGUGUGGGGUCCAUUCCACGGGUUCCGUGCCGUAGCUAACGCUUUAAGUACCCCGCCUGGGGAGUACGGCCGCAAGGCUAAAACUCAAAGGAAUUGACGGGGCCCCGCACAAGCGGCGGAGCAUGCGGAUUAAUUCGAUGCAACGCGUAGAACCUUACCUGGGUUUGACAUGGAUCGGGAGUGCUCAGAGAUGGGUGUGCCUCUUUUGGGGUCGGUUCACAGGUGGUGCAUGGCUGUCGUCAGCUCGUGUCGUGAGAUGUUGGGUUAAGUCCCGCAACGAGCGCAACCCUUGUUCACUGUUGCCAGCACGUUAUGGUGGGGACUCAGUGGAGACCGCCGGGGUCAACUCGGAGGAAGGUGGGGAUGACGUCAAGUCAUCAUGCCCCUUAUGUCCAGGGCUUCACGCAUGCUACAAUGGCUGGUACAGAGAGUGGCGAGCCUGUGAGGGUGAGCGAAUCUCGGAAAGCCGGUCUCAGUUCGGAUUGGGGUCUGCAACUCGACCUCAUGAAGUCGGAGUCGCUAGUAAUCGCAGAUCAGCAACGCUGCGGUGAAUACGUUCCCGGGGCU